rnacentral:rRNA from 1 species
UACAUGGGGUGCAAACGUUGCUCGGAAUUAUUGGGCGUAAAGCGCACGUAGGCGGUUCGUUAAGUCGGAUGUGAAAGCCCUCGGCUCAACUGAGGAAGUGCACCCGAAACUGGCGAGCUUGAGUACUUAAGAGGAUCGCGGAAUUCCCGGUGUAGAGGUGAAAUUCGUAGAUAUCGGGAGGAACACCAGUGGCGAAGGCGGCGAUCUGGGAAGAUACUGACGCUGAGGUGCGAAAGCGAUGGGGAGCAAACAGGGAAUUAAGAA